AUGGCGGAGACGGUGCCGGCGACGGCGCUGGACAUCGACGAGAUCCCCUUCGCCGACCUCCUCCUCCUGCUGCUCUCGCCGGAAGCGGCAGCAGCGGGCGACGCCGAUGGCCGGCGGCGCCGCCUCCUGGCCACCGUCUGGGCCGCGCUCGGCCCAGGCGGCACCGGGCUUCUGGCCGUCUCCGGUGUCCCGCGCGCCGCCAACCUCCGCCGCCGGCUCCUCCCCCUGGCCCGCCGCCUCGCAAUCAUGGACCACCCUUCCCGCGCCCACCUCCUCAAGAAGUACGGAUUGGGCAGCGACGUGCCUCUUAAGAAGCCCGACAGGUCCGUCUCCUCCUUCGCGCGGCUCCUAAGGCACGAUUCAGGCAAGCUCCACUCCCUGGAGUCGAUGUGCGAAGCCACCGGAGACACCGAGAUCAGGCCUGGUUGUCCGGACGGGGAACAAAAGGGUGAUGCUGAUGAUGACAUGGAGAACCUUGGUGAUCUUUUCAAGGAGCUGGGUCUGUGCAUGAUGGAGCUUGGCAUCUUGGUUGCCCGGGCCUGCGACAUUGUUAUCGGUGGGAAUCAGCUGGAGCAGAGCAUUACCGACUCUGGAAGCGCAAAGGCGAGGCUCAUCCACUACCACUCUGAGUUGGAUAACAGGAUUAUCAAGGAGAUGAGCAGCACAAGGAGGAAAAACUUGGCAAACAAUGCAGCAGCAGCAAGACCUGUAUCGGAUCACAUGGAUACAUAUCAAAUGCCAGGAUCAGAAAGAUCGAAAAAAGAUGGGAUGGCCGUUGUAAAGUCAGCCGAAGAAAAUGAGUCCCAAGGUGCCGCAGUACAAGGUCAUGUCAGCACGAUUUCUCUUGUGAACUUAUGGCAAGAGUGGCACUACGACUAUGGAGUGCUGACAGUCUUAACAGCGCCAUUAUUCUUGCGCUCUGCUCUCGGACAGGAAUGCCCGGUCAGCGAAGAAUGCUCUGUUCCUGAUGGGCACUCACACCUGCAGCUCUUCAGUAAAAGGAGGAUUUUCUCAGUGAGAUGCUCCCAGGAGAGCUUUAUUGUUCAGGUUGGGGAGGCAGCAGGCAUCCUGUCAGGGGGGAAACUGAGAUCUACGCUUCAUGCUGUCAGUAGACCUUUAGGCUUGCCAAACAUCAGCCGAGAGACUUUCGUGGUUUUCCUACAGCCGUCAUGGGACAAAACUCUACCUUUCUCGGGUUACUCUUGUGCCGAUGAAGAUGAUUCAAGUGAUCACAUGGAAUUGGCUUUCAGGGGUGAUGGACCAGCCGGGUGUUGUGGUGAACAUAUACUGAUGCAGGAGAUUCUGAAGAAGAUCCCCCCGCUGUCGUCAAGGCUGAAAGAAGGAAUGACGUUUGCAGAGUUUUCUAGGCAGACAACAAAACAGUAUUAUGGUGGUGGAGGCAUCCAACAAAACAGUUAA
rnacentral:rRNA from 1 species